CGGCGAGUGAAGCGGCAACAGCUCAAAUUUGAAAUCUGGCCCUUUCAGGGUCCGAGUUGUAAUUUGUAGAGGAUGUUUCGGGUGUGGCUCCGGUCUAAGUUCCUUGGAACAGGACGUCAUAGAGGGUGAGAAUCCCGUAUGUGACUGGUAGCCUACGCCCAUGUGAAACUCCUUCGACGAGUCGAGUUGUUUGGGAAUGCAGCUCAAAAUGGGUGGUAAAUUUCAUCUAAAGCUAAAUAUUGGCCAGAGACCGAUAGCGCACAAGUAGAGUGAUCGAAAGAUGAAAAGCACUUUGGAAAGAGAGUUAAACAGUACGUGAAAUUGUUGAAAGGGAAGCGCUUGCAACCAGACUUGCAUGUAGCUGAUCAACCGGUGUUCUCACCGGUGCACUCAGUUGCGUUCAGGCCAGCAUCGGUUUCGACGGUUGGAUAAAGGCCCUGGGAAUGUAGCUCCUCUCGGGGAGUGUUAUAGCCCAGGGUGCAAUGCAGCCUGUCGGGACCGAGGACCGCGCUUCGGCUAGGAUGCUGGCGUAAUGGUUGUAAGCGACCCGUCUUGAAACACGGACCAAGGAGUCUAACAUCUAUGCGAGUGUUUGGGUGUCAAACCCAUACGCGUAAUGAAAGUGAACGGAGGUGAGAACCCUUAAGGGUGCAUCAUCGACCGAUCCUGAUGUCUUCGGAUGGAUUUGAGUAAGAGCAUAGCUGUUGGGACCCGAAAGAUGGUGAACUAUGCCUGAAUAGGGUGAAGCCAGAGGAAACUCUGGUGGAGGCUCGCAGCGGUUCUGACGUGCAAAUCGAUCGUCAAAUUUGGGUAUAG
rnacentral:rRNA from 1 species